UACGGGAGGCAGCAGUGGGGAAUAUUGCACAAUGGGCGAAAGCCUGAUGCAGCCAUGCCGCGUGUAUGAAGAAGGCCUUCGGGUUGUAAAGUACUUUCAGUUGUGAGGAAGGGGGUAGUGUUAAUAGCGCUAUCUCUUGACGUUAGCAACAGAAGAAGCACCGGCUAACUCCGUGCCAGCAGCCGCGGUAAU
rnacentral:rRNA from 1 species